rnacentral:tRNA from 1 species
GCCUCCUUAGCUCAGCUGGUAGANNGUCGUAGGUUCGAGCCCUACAGGGGGUACCA